UUUAAAGGUGCUGCAUUAAGAACGGUGCAAAAAUGUGAUAUGUUUCUGUGUUUACCUCAGCCGAGAAGGACAUGAUGUUAAAACUGCAAGGCGCAUAUAAGGAAGACUGUUUGAUCCCAGGCUCUGAGGAAAACCCCAGCUGCUCACAGACUAUUCGCUACUACAUAAACCGAGACCUGGAGACUGAGUUUAGUCUCAUCCCACCAAAAGCUGGGGCAGAAGUGGACGGGAUAAAUCCAAAGACUGCAGACAUUCUGUCAUCAGUCCCUAUGAAACCAUUACCAGCCAAACCACAGAUUAAACUCUGCAUGCCUGUUGGACAGGGUGAAGUGGAUCUGCAACUAAGCACAGAGGGCCGGUAAACAAUUUGAAUGGCUUAUCUCUAAUUAGUUCAGGAACAGUUUAAAGAAACUACUUUGG
rnacentral:lncRNA from 1 species